rnacentral:rRNA from 1 species
AGCAGCCGCGGUAAUUCCAGCUCCAAUAGCGUAUAUUAAAGUUGUUGCAGUUAAAAAGCUCGUAGUUGAAUUUCGGGAUCAGAGUGUCGGUCGUGCCUCGGUACGCACUGGUAUUAUUGGUUCCUACCUUCUGAAGAACUGCGAUGUCAUUAAUUUGGUGUCGUGGGGAAUCAGGACUGUUACUUUGAAAAAAUUAGAGUGUUUAAAGCAGGCUUACGCUUGAAUACAUUAGCAUGGAAUAAUGAAAUAGGACGUUUGAUUCUAUUUUGUUGGUUUCUAGGAUUGACGUAAUGAUUAAUAGGGAUAGUUGGGGGCAUUAGUAUUCAAUUGUCAGAGGUGAAAUUCUUGGAUUUAUUGAAGACUAACUACUGCGAAAGCAUUUGCCAAGGAUGUUUUCAUUAAUCAAGAACGAAAGUUAGGGGAUCGAAGACGAUCAGAUACCGUCGUAGUCUUAACCAUAAACUAUGCCGACUAGGGAUCGGGAUGAUGUUAAUUUUUAAUGACUCAUUCGGCGCCUUAA